GGUAGUAAAAGUCGUAACAAGGUUUCCGUAGGUGAACCUGCGGAAGGAUCAUUACAGAGUUCAUGCCCUCACGGGUAGAUCUCCCACCCUUGAAUAUUUAUACCUUAGUUGCUUUGGCAGGCCGUGGAAACACCAUGGGCUCCGGCUUGUGCGUGCCUGCCAGAGGAAACAAACUCUGUUUUUUAGUGAUGUCUGAGUACUAUAUAAUAGUUAAAACUUUCAACAACGGAUCUCUUGGUUCUG
rnacentral:misc_RNA from 1 species